rnacentral:rRNA from 1 species
AAUCAACGCUGGCGGCGUGCCUAACACAUGCAAGUCGAACGCGAAAGCCCUUUCGGGGGUAAGUAGAGUGGCGUCCGGGUGAGUAACACGUGGGUAAUCUGCCUUCGGGUGGGGAAUAACCCAGGGAAACUUGGGCUAAUACCGCAUAAUGCAGCGGCACCUAAUGGUGAUUAGUUGUUAAAGCGGGGGAUCGCAAGACCUCGCGCCUGAAGAGGAGCCUGCGGCAGAUUAGCAGUUGGUGAGGUAAUGGCUCACCAAGGCUGCGAUCUGUAGCUGGUCUGAGAGGACGGCCAGCCACACUGGCACUGACACACGGGCCAGACUCCUACGGGAGCAGCAGUGGGGAAUUUUGGGCAAUGGGCGAAAGCCUGACCCAGCAACGCCGCGUGAGGGAGGAAAUCCUUCGGAUGUAAACCUCACAAGCAAGGGAAGAGAGCUGCGGGCUGAA